rnacentral:rRNA from 1 species
GAUGAACGCUGGCGGCGUGCUUAACACAUGCAAGUCGAACGAAGCGCCUUAUUUGAUUUUCUUCGGAACUGAAGAUUUGGUGACUGAGUGGCGGACGGGUGAGUAACGCGUGGGUAACCUACCCUGUACAGGGGGAUAACAAUCAGAAAUGACUGCUAAUACCGCAUAAGACCACAGCACCGCAUGGUGCAGGGGUAAAAACUCCGGUGGUACAGGAUGGACCCGCGUCUGAUUAGCUGGUUGGUGAGGUAACGGCUCACCAAGGCGACGAUCAGUAGCUGGUCUGAGAGGAUGAGCAGCCACACUGGGACUGAGACACGGCCCAGACACCUACGGGUGGCAG